GCCUUCGUGGUGUAAUUAGAAGCAUGCUCGACUUGUAUUCGGGAGAUCCAAGGUUCGAGUCCCGGUGAAGGCA
rnacentral:tRNA from 1 species